rnacentral:piRNA from 1 species
AUGCAUGUCUUCCCAAGGAUAAGGUAAG